AGCAGCCGCGGUAAUUCCAGCUCCAAUAGCGUAUAUUAAAGUUGUUGCAGUUAAAAAGCUCGUAGUUGAAUUUCGAGAUCAAAUUGUUGGUCGUGCCUCGGUACGCACUGGCAUUAUUGGUUUCUCCCUUCUGAAGAACCUUGAUGUCAUUAAUUUGGUGUCUUGGGGAAUCAGGACCGUUACUUUGAAAAAAUUAGAGUGUUUAAAGCAGGCUCACGCUUGAAUACAUUAGCAUGGAAUAAUGAAAUAGGACGUUUGAUUCUAUUUUGUUGGUUUCUAGGAUCGACGUAAUGAUUAAUAGGGAUAGUUGGGGGCAUUAGUAUUCAAUUGUCAGAGGUGAAAUUCUUGGAUUUAUUGAAGACUAACUACUGCGAAAGCAUUUGCCAAGGAUGUUUUCAUUAAUCAAGAACGAAAGUUAGGGGAUCGAAGACGAUCAGAUACCGUCGUAGUCUUAACCAUAAACUAUGCCGACUAGGGAUCGGAUGAUGUUAAUUUUUUAAUGACUCAUUCGGCGCCUUAA
rnacentral:rRNA from 1 species